CAUUCUCAUUUGAAUGUACAUUUUUAAUGUUUUAGUAUUCAAAUUCAAAAGUACAGCUCUCCAAAAUGAAACAAAGGAUAUGGGAUAAACGCGAUGUUUGCUUAUAUUGUUACGAGAAUGUAACAAAUUUCAGUCGUCAUAUAUUGAAAAGACAUAUGUCUGAAGUGUCAAUUCAGCAGCUUGAAAAAAUGCCCAAAGGAAGUAUCGAGCGAAAACAAUUCAUAGCUAUGCUCAGAAAAAAAGGAAAUUUUUUAUCACCUGCACAAAACGAAAUCAAAGUUGUUAAAAAACCUGUUAAGGAAGUGGAUCCAUCAAACAUUCUUCCUUGCGUAUACUGCAAAGGUUUUUACAUGAAAAGAUAUCUAAAACGUCAUGUGAAAACAUGUCUACAACGACCUACCACCAGUGGUGCUGAAGACUUUAGGACAGCGGAUGCUCAAAGUUACUUAGCAUUUCGAAGUGUUGAUCAAAAGUUUAUUGAUGAACUUAGAUUCAAAGAAGGCAUUUUAAAUAUGAGAUGCGAUAAUAUAGCUUUUAUCGCGAAAUCUGAUCCACUAAUUUUGUCCUUUGCUGCAUUUUAUGCAAAGCGCCAUAGGCAUAAUCAUUUGAAUAAAGUGACAAAAAAUAAAAUCCGAGAACUGGCGCGCUUGUGGAAAGAUAUGAAAAAAUAUAUUAACGAUAAAAACUUUUUUGCAGCUCUUAAGCCUGAAAAUUUUAAAUACUUCGUUUUAAGCACGCAAAAUAUAACCGGUUACAAUCACAACUCUCAAAAGUUUGAAAAAGCACCAUCACUAGCCCUCCACAUGGGAACUACGUUAAGAAAAGUUUGUGAAUUUGCGUUCUCAGAAAUUCAACAAAAAAAUCAUAUUUUUAUAUCAGGUUUGGACAUUUUAAAAAAGACAAAAGACAUAAAGGUGUUGAAAGAGUUGAUCAAAAAUAAUUGGAACGCAGAAGUAAGCAGUGUUGCAAAUCAAAAUCUAGUUGAAAAUCAGUGGAACAAGCCAACUAUUAUUCCUCUAACUUCGGAUAUUAAAAAACUCAAUGGCUAUGUUAAACUUAGGGCUGAACAAUGUGCCGACAAAUUAAAAAAACAAGAAGAUGACAAAAAAUCUUUCAAUGAUUUACAAAAAUGCUGCUUUACUUUGCUAAUUACUUUGAAUCGUAGACGAAUUGGCGAACUUGAGCGAUUGGAAUUAGAAAGUUACUUAAAGAAAAAUAAUGAUUUAAUAUCAGAAGAAUUUGAACAGAAAUUGACGGAGACAGAAAAAUUUCUUUUGAAAAAGUACAAGCGUAUUCGCAUUAGAGGCAAACGUCACAAACCCGUACCUGUUUUAAUUUCCAAGGAAGUACAGGAAUACAUAAAUUUAUUAUUGUUAGUACGAAAAAAUUUCGUACCUGAAAGUAAUGCUUUUUUAUUUGCAACAUUAAAAAAAAACAGCCCUUUAGACGGUUACGCUGCAUUAAGAUGGUUAGCUCAAUCAUCAGGUGCAGAGUAUCCUAAGGCAUUAACGUCAGGCAAAUUAAGAAAACACAUCGCGACAAUUUCACAAAUUUCUGACUUAUCCUCUUCCGAACUGGAACAGCUAUGUACAUUUCUAGGACACACUAUGACGACUCAUCAAGAUUUUUAUAGGUUGUCUCAAGAAACUUAUCAAACUGCAAAAUUAACAAAACUUUUGCUAAAAUCUCAAAACGAAUCAGUUGACGUAGACGAUAUGAAUCAGGAACUUGGCUCAGACGGUGAUAACGAUCAAAGCGAUGAUGACGAAGUGAUCAAUGUUGUACCAAGUACAAGUAAUGGUUCUGGUAACUAGCAUUUUUUUUAAUUUUUGUUUAAAAAUUUAUCGAAAGGUGAAGGUAUCGGCCAAAACUUGAAAGAAGAAAUAAUAACAAAUUCAAUAAAUGUUGAUAAACGGAGUGAACAGAAGUCAAACGGAAAAGGCAAAUCUAAAAAAGCGAGCCGUUAUAAUCUUGAUGAUUCAACUGAAAAUCUCAGUAAUGAAACAACAAAUCCGCAAGUGAUUGAAACUUCAAAGAAAAUUGUUCAUCCUAAAGUUAGAUGGACCAACGAGCAAAAGAAAGUGACAAAAGCGUAUUUUAAGCGCAACAUUCAGAUUCGAAAACCACCAACUGAGUCAGAAAUUGAGGAAUUUAGGAAGAAAUAUCCAAUCAUGGAAAAUAAGGAUUGGAAGAAAAUUAAAGUAUUUGUUUACAAUGAAUAUUCCAAAAAAUAAUAACUGUUUUGCUGUAAUAUGAAUAAUUUUUUGUUCUGUUUUCUAUUUUUUGCGUGCAACUAAGUUGGUUUAAGUUAAUUUUUUUAAUGAGUUUAUUGUGAGAGAGUUUGCUUUUAA